UUACAUUUUCUCCUCCAAUUGACGGCGAAGCCAUCAUCUAUGUUUUCCUAUAUCUGAAGUUGCAUUAGUGAGACUGGGAAGACCACCAUGGAAAGAGCAGAUCCUACGAAGAUUUAUAUUCCCUUGCAAAGCUGAUUGUGACUGAGCUCUGAGUUACACUACGUAAAAUAAUGGCAGAUCCCAAGCACAAGAGAUGUUUUCCUUAAAACCUUUGCUUCUGUGAAAAUUGAUGAACAGAUUGGAGAAUAUGAGAGAGAGACAGAGAGGCAGAGAUGGAAAGAGACUUUCAUCAGGUGCUUAAGGCAGUACUUCCUAUGACAGUUGAAUGUGCAUAUGUGGAUGCAUAUGUUCAUGCACUGAAGGCCCACACACAGUCUGCACUGAGAGACUACAACUACUAGAGUGAAGGGAUGGAAGAAUGCACUGUCCACUGAGGCAGGGAAAGACUUUCGUUUGUGGAUAAAAUGAGUGCUUAGAAAUUGGCUCUUAUUGUUGAAGAUAUGAUACCAUUAAAGAGAAAUCUCCUGUUC